rnacentral:piRNA from 1 species
UGAUAUUGUUCAGAUUCACUACACGAAA